rnacentral:rRNA from 1 species
CGAGGAUUCCCUCAGUAACGGCGAGUGAACGGGGAAGAGCCCAGCGCUAAAUCUUGUCGCUCUAACGGGUGACGAGAGGUGUAGCGUAUAGUAGGCGACUUUCCUUGGUGGCUGUCGACUUAAAUUCUCCUUGACUGGGGUUCCAUAGAAGGUGAAAGGCCUGUUCAGUCGAUGGCCGCCUUGGAUUCCGCUCUACUUGGAGUCGGGUUGUUUGGGAACGCAGCCCAAAUUUGGUGGUAAACUUCAUCUAAGGCUAAAUACGGCCACGAAACCGAUAGCAAACAAGUACCGUGAGGGAAAGUUGAAAAGUACUUUGAAGAGAGAGUUCAAGAGGACGUGAAACCGGUAGGAUGGAAACGGAUAGAGCCAACGAACAAGCCCGUAUUCAGCUAGUCGGCUGCGUGCGGCAUGCCUGUGUGUCCCGUUCCGGGUGCAUGGGUGUGUGCGGUAUGCGGUUGGCUAGUGCAUUUGCGGGUGAUGUGCGCUGAGGCGUGUGGUGGAGUCCUGCAAACCGUCUAGAGAGGCCUCGUCUUUCGGGACUUGAAACCUAUAGGCGGGGAGUAGGGUUUCCCUGCUGCACGUAGAUAAAACGGUUAGGUGCAAACGCGCUGCCGUAUUGCCGGUGCGAUUCUUCGGUCGGUCGCAUGCGACUAGGCCUUAGGGUCGUGCUUGGUGGUGCGGUAGUGACCUUAACUGAUCCUCGGUGUAAAAGUUGGUCAUCUCUCCGACCCGUCUUGAAACACGGACCAAGGAGUCUAGCGUAUACGCGAGUCAUUGGGUGGAAAACCCAUAGGCGCAAUGAAAGUGAAGGUCUCGCAAGGGACUUAUAUGCGAUCCGUUGCACUACGGUGUACGCGGAGCAGCAUAGCCCCGUCUCGACUGCUUGCAGUGGGGCGGAGGUAGAGCGUAUUCGCUGGUACCCGAAAGAUGGUGAACUAUGCCUGAGCAGGAUGAAGCCAGAGGAAACUCUGGUGGAGGUCCGAAGCGCUUCUGACGUGCAAAUCGAUCGUCUGACUUGGGUAUAGGGGCGAAAGACUAAUCGA